rnacentral:rRNA from 1 species
UGAACCAAGUUUGGUCUGCUUAACAGACUAUCAAGCUUUCAACUGAAGAGUUUGAUCAUGGCUCAGAUUGAACGCUGGCGGCAGGCUUAACACAUGCAAGUCGAGCGGAAACGAUCCUAGCUUGCUAGGAGGCGUCGAGCGGCGGACGGGUGAGUAAUG